rnacentral:rRNA from 1 species
GGUUGAUCCUGCCGGAGGCCAUUGCUAUGGGGAUCCGAUUUAGCCAUGCUAGUCGCACGAGUUUAGACUCGUGGCAGAUAGCUCAGUAACACGUGGCCAAACUACCCUCUGGACCGGAAUACCCUCGGGAAACUGAGGCUAAUUCCGGAUACUACUCGACGCCUGGAACGGCCCGAGAUCCAAACGCUCCGGCGCCAGAGGCUGUGGCUGCGGCCGAUUAGGUAGACGGUGGGGUAACGGCCCACCGUGCCCAUAAUCGGUACGGGUUGUGAGAGCAAGAGCCCGGAGACGGUAUCUGAGACAAGAUACCGGGCCCUACGGGGCGCAGCAGGCGCGAAACCUUUACACUGCACGACAGUGCGAUAAGGGGAUCCCCAGUGCGAGGGCAUACAGUCCUCGCUUUUCACCACCGUAAGGAGGUGGUGGAACAAGAGCUGGGCAAGACCGGUGCCAGCCGCCGCGGUAAUACCGGCAGCUCGAGUGAUGGCCGUUCUUAUUGGGCCUAAAGCGUCCGUAGCCGGCCAAGUAAGUUCGUCGGGAAACCCACAUGCUCAACAUGUGGGCGUCCGGCGAAACCUGCUUGGCUUGGGACCGGACGGCCCAGAGGGUACGGCCGGGGUAGGAGUGAAAUCCUGUAAUCCCGGCCGGACCACCGGUGGCGAAAGCGCUCUGGGAGGACGGAUCCGACGGUGAGGGACGAAAGCCAGGGUCACGAACCGGAUUAGAUACCCGGGUAGUCCUGGCUGUAAACGAUGCCCGUUAGGUGUGGCACAGGCUACGAGCCUGUGCUGUGCCGCAGUGAAGACGCUAAACGGGCCGCCUGGGAAGUACGUCUGCAAGGAUGAAACUUAAAGGAAUUGGCGGGGGAGCACUACAACCGGAGGAGCCUGCGGUUUAAUUGGAUUC